GAAACUACAGUAAACUAUUGCGCUCGUGAGACGUCAACCAACGACCACGUUACCUAAUUUUGCAUGUCACAAAAUUUGGAUCUGAUGAACGCACGUCCCAAUGGAAAAAGCUACAAUGGAAAAGCAUCCUAUGCAUCCAGUGUACUUGCCUAAGAGAAAAAGUUACCAGGCAGGACAAUUCAUUCGUUCAAGGCGACCUAUAUGCUGCUCCUUGAUCUGCGCGGUGAAGUAUGGGGGUUGUGCAGCUUUGUGAGCAAAAAGCCUUCAGCGCACGGAGGGCAAUAUAACGUGACGCAAGACUACUUUUUGAUUGAGUACCCAGUGAAUCAUCAAUGCAGUAAUUCCAGAUUGACUGUACAAACAUAAUAUAAUUCAUAAACAUUUACCGGUCCGACGCUUUGGUGAGGUGGCUACCUUGGAGCUUUCAUGUUCGUGAACUGCUGCUGUGCUGUGCUCCUGAUUGAGCUCUCACCUUAAGUAGCCUAGGGUCUAUACUUGGGUCUAGUGACCUCUCGUGGACGUUUGGAGCCUUUCCAUAUUGUAGAUGUCACAACCAACGCCUCGACCACGCAAAAUGGUAAACUGCAUCAUCUGGAUAUAUGUGCAACAAAAGUUCAACAUUCACUUUCUGAUACCAUUUCUGUAAAGCAGCCUACGCAUACAAUUUGAUAGAUACGUUCGAUGAAUCCAACAGAAGCACUGCCUCUGCAACGCAAUGCAGCAAGGCAAAGGCAGCAUUCCAUUGGAAAUGAAUGUACUUCUGGUGUACCAAAACGCAAGAACACUGUCGGCGUGAUCAAGGUGUAAGUGGAGUAUGGGUGCAUCCCAAAAAUAUCUCCUUUCUCCUGAAGUGUGCACCAGCUAUGACCAUUCACACAGUUCAGUCACUCAGCCAUAUCCAGUGGACAUGAUGCUAUAAAGGUCCUGCACUACCACCUCCUACAACAUCCUGAUGAGAAGCAUUAACGCUAGCCCCAUGACUGAUACAUCAGAGGAAGUUGUCUUGCUGUUGGCACCAAUUCCAUCCUACUAAACUUUGUUCUCUCUUGUUCAACUGCCCAUUGUUUAAAUUUGCUUCAAAUAUGUUUUUUUACUGAAGGGUGACAGAUGACACUUGUAUGGAGGGCUGUGGGUGUGGGGGAGAGAAUGGAUGUAGAUGGGUUUGGUUGAAGAAACUCCCUCUCCCCUACCUCCCUUCCUUCUCUUGAUAGGGAAUAAAAGUGAAUGUUAUUGCUGCAUUUUACCUGUGACCCCAAAUCAAAUAUUUUAUGAGUCACAAGCUAAGACAAAAACACACACAUAUAUAUAUAUAUAUAUAUAUAUAUAUAUAUAUAUAUAUAUAUAUAUAUAUAUAUAUAUAUAUAUAUAUAUAUAUAUAUAUAUAUAUAUAUAUAUAUAUAUAUAUUACUUUCUUUACACAUCUAUUCACUACUGGCCAAAUGCAGUCACCAAUCUCUUCAGACAGCAUUUCCAGUUUUUAGGCCUGUUUAAAAAAUCUAAGGUAAACCAGUUUAUAUUUGCCAUAAUAAUAAUAUUCGGGAAUCAAACCCACCUGCCUGGCAUUACAAGCACCAUGAUCUACCAACUGAACAACAAUGGACCACUUUGGAUUAAGCUUACAAAAUGUGAUAGACUGUAUUAUUAUGCUUAUGUAUGUGAUGGUACUGUAGGUACAAUGAGGAAUCGAAUAUUCUUCAAUCUGUCAUGGGUUGAAGUUACCAUUAUUAAUCCUGUGCCAAGUCUCAUAUAUGGCUGAAUUGUAGUGUAUUUAAAGAAUAUGCCUUGUGUUGUACAAUUCUUAUACGCUAGAUGGCAGUAACGUGCUACCACCUUCAAAUAGGUCUCUAAGAGUUUUUCUAUUCGCCCUUCAAGUUCUGAGCAAAUGUCCAAAUUAUUGAAUUCUCUGAAUUUGCAUUGCGAAUGUUGCUUUUAUAGAUACUAGAUAUGACUGGUUGUGAUCCAGUCACAUAUGGAACAUGUGACAUGCAAAGUUCAAUUGGGUAAUGUUGAGCCCCCAACUCCUGUCUGUCACUCGCCCCAUUAAUAACUUACGGUAAACAUAUACAGUGGUGACCCGUCAUUUUGAGCCACACAUUUUUAGCAAAAUAAAUGCUGUUUUUUUUUUGGGGGGGGGGGGGUGCUUUCCUGUUUUGCAUGUUAUUGUGGCAUUAACAUGUCACAUAUCAGAUUGCAAACAAUGUAAAAAUUAAUAUAUAUAUAUGUAAUUGUGUUAACUUGUGUUGCAGCACUUUUCCAUGCCACAUUUUUUGCAUUCAGAUCACAGUGUGCAUGGUAGCUUGUGUCAAAUAUAGUGGGGUGCCCUAAAACAGCCAAAAUCAAGCUCUCUUUCAAGUUGCGUGACUCAGUGAGUCAGUGAUUCCACAGUUUGUUUGCACGAAUCUUAAGAAGCAUAUUUGCUAUUUUGUUCGUCUCCUGUAUUUUUUUUUAGGGUGGGUUGGGUUAGGGCUUUGCUGCAUUGUCAUGUAUGUUUGUUCAUCCUGUUUAUUAAAAAUAAAUGUAUACUUUCCCGCAAA